GAACUACUCCCUUCGUCCGAAAAAACUUGUCUCAAACUUGUGCCUUAAAUGGAUGUAUCUAGCAGUAACUUGAUGCUAAAUACAUUCAUUUGAGGGACAAGCCUUUUCGGACGGAGGGAGUAUUUU
rfam:Triticum aestivum genome assembly, contig: Triticum_aestivum_CS42_TGACv1_scaffold_146451_2BS